rnacentral:rRNA from 1 species
GCUUGCUCUCGGGUGACGAGUGGCGGACGGGUGAGUAAUGUCUGGGAAACUGCCUGAUGGAGGGGGAUAACUACUGGAAACGGUAGCUAAUACCGCAUAACGUCGCAAGACCAAAGAGGGGGACCUUCGGGCCUCUUGCCAUCAGAUGUGCCCAGAUGGGAUUAGCUAGUAGGUGGGGUAACGGCUCACCUAGGCGACGAUCCCUAGCUGGUCUGAGAGGAUGACCAGCCACACUGGAACUGAGACACGGUCCAGACUCCUACGGGAGGCAGCAGUGGGGAAUAUUGCACAAUGGGCGCAAGCCUGAUGCAGCCAUGCCGCGUGUAUGAAGAAGGCCUUCGGGUUGUAAAGUACUUUCAGCGGGGAGGAAGGUGUUGUGGCUAAUAACCACAGCAAUUGACGUUACCCGCAGAAGAAGCGGCGGCUAACUCCGUGCCAGCAGCCGCGGUAAUACGGAGGGUGCAAGCGUUAAUCGGAAUUACUGGGCGUAAAGCGCACGCAGGCGGUCUGUCAAGUCGGAUGUGAAAUCCCCGGGCUCAACCUGGGAACUGCAUUCGAAACUGGCAGGGCUAGAGUCUUGUAGAGGGGGGUAGAAUUCCAGGUGUAGCGGUGAAAUGCGUAGAGAUCUGGAGGAAUACCGGUGGCGAAGGCGGCCCCCUGGACAAAGACUGACGCUCAGGUGCGAAAGCGUGGGGGAGCAAACAGGAUUAGAUACCCUGGUAGUCCACGCCGUAAACGAUGUCGAUUU